AAAAUUAAGCCUAUUUCACUUUAAAAAAAAAAAUCCAAAUCGAUGAAAUCAACUUUCCCCCAAAACUCUUUGCUUCUCCCUCAAAACCAAAAUCAAACUUUUUCUGCUCUCAGUUUCAAAAUCAAAAUUGAAGAAUUACUCAUAAAUUUCAUCGAAUUUUCGUUAAUUUGAAUCAAAAUCGAAGAAUCGUUCUUAGUCUCAACAGUUUCAGCUUCGAAGAAUGAUCUCAGUUCGUAGGAUAUAAGGGAUUUGCGAAGGAUCGUGAAGAAUUUGUGAAUGAUUCGCGAGGGAAUGUGAAACUUAGAGAAUCUGAAAUUUCAGAGACAGUUAAGGGGUUUCUUGAUUUAAGACUAAGGCCAUGGCUCAGAAACUUCUUAAUGAGAUAUUUAGCUACAAUCCCAAGUUUGAUUGUAGCUCUCAUAGGUGGCUCACCUGGAGCCGGAAAGUUAAUCAUCAUUGCCUCGAUGAUCUUAUCCUAUGAGCUCCCAUUUGCUUUAGUCCCACUUCUCAAUUUCACAAGCAGCAAAACGAAAAUGGGCUCACACGCCAAUUCACUCCUGAUUUCAUCUGUGACUUGGCUUAUUGGUGGACUUAUUAAGGGUAUCAACAUAUAUUAUCUAGUAAGCAGUUUCAUCAAUCUGCUUCUCCAUGGUCACAUGAAGCUUGUAGCCAUUGUCCUCUUAGGUGAAGACACAAAGUUUAACAUGAAGCUUCAUCAAUCAUCUAGCAGCAAUAGUGACCAGGAUAGUGGCAUUUCAAAGACUGGACUUUGAGAUAUCACUUGAAAAUGGUAUGUUCGUCUAUAUCUUAUCUCUAAGUCUGUCAAUUAGUGUUGGAAUAUGUUUAGUAUGUUUUUAGGUCAUUAAGGCUAAGUUGUUGCUCACAGAAUUUUUCAAAGUAACUUACUCAGAAGAAAUUGAAACCAUAUUGUCAUUUUACUUAGAAGAAACUGAAACCAUAUUGUCAUUUUACUUAGAAGAAACCAAAACCAAACUGAAACCAUAUUGUCUAUACGUUCUGCAUAUUUCAGUAAUUGAAAAUAUGUUGUUGGCUAUAUUAGUUUGUUGACUGAUUUCGGUGCAGGUUUACCUCUCAAUCAGAAGAAUUGGUGCUUGUGGGCAUUUCAGUUUUUUUGUUUAGAAGAGUUAUACUUGUUCGUUGACAUUUAUAGUUUCAAAACAGUAUAUUAUAGUUUCAAUGACAUUUGAAUUUGGAUCUCGUUUGUAAAAACAGGUUCCUUUUAUUAAUUGGAAAUUUUAAUCGAGUUAUCAUUUAAAUCUUUUUAAUUGGAGGAUUGUAUGUAUUAUAUAUAUAUAUAUAAUAUUUAGCGUUAAUGGAGUAUACGUCAGUUUAUUACUGACCCAAACAUAUUUGUAAAAUUACGUCGGUUUAUUAGUGACCCAAACAUUAAGACGUUAAAUUACACGUCAUUUUUCAAAGCGACGUUAAGAUAAUUAACGUCAUCCCUUGUUACGACGGUUUUGUAAAUGACGCUAUAUAAUUUACGUCGGUUUAUUACCGAUGUUAAAUUCCAUUAUAACCGACGUAAGAAGUCGUCUUUUUUGUAGUGCACUACGAAGGCGUGGAUGAAUCUAUAUAGUAACCUAUAUAUUAUAAUUGAAAUGAAUAAUCAAUUAUAAAGUAAUGAUUAUUCAUUUUAAACCUAUAAACAAAGUAAUGUUUAUUAAUCAAUUGCUAUAUAGGUUUAUAAUUGAUUAAUCGAUCAAAAAAUAGCGAUAAUCGCCACUUUCUUUGCCCUAACAAUAACGAUAAUAGGUUUAUGAAGAACUUUGCCCUAACAAUGUCGCUUGCAGAGAUUCGCGAAAGAGCCUUAGCAGGUAAAUUUCUGGCAUGUAAAUCGUGAAUCCAAAUAUUAUCUUUGAUUCUUGUGUUUUUUCAUGGAUGAUCUAGGUAUAAAGUUGCUUCGAGACAUAGAUUACAGGUUUAGCAACUACAUGAGCGAUUUGUUUGGGAAAGAUAGGGCAAUUAAUCUCUGACUCUUUACGGUUUAUAUCAACUCGAGAGUAACUAUCUGACCUUGUUUUCCUAGGAUCCACAUUCAUAAUUGGAGGGAACUUGCUUUGUGUAUUUUGCCGUACCACCACUCUGAAAUCUUCGGUCAAUUAGUGAAGCUCUUCGCCGCGGAUUACACAUCUACGAACUGGAGUUUUCUUGAUAAUGUGAGGUUUUCUGGUAAACCACUUUCUAAACAUGUCAUCAUACGGCAAUGCUCUAGAGACAUGGAGUUUUUGAAGGAGUUGUGUGACUAUGUAAGUGAUUUCAACAUAUUUUUCUCCCCCGGUUUUUGAAUGGCCAAGAGGUAUCCGAUGUACUAGUGGCGUCGGUUCAAACAUUUCUGCUGGAUACUGAAGCUCAUUCAAAGGAAGAGGAUGCAAAGCUAUCCGUGCUUUGUCAUAUGAUGGAUUUUCUAGGCUUUGGAGUUGUAACUACAGCAGAAAGCUUUAAGGCACAAAUAGCUGGGCUUCUCGGUGGGAUCCUCUUCUUGUGACAUGAGACAGAAGAGGGAAUUGAAUCUGGAUGAUAUCAUUCUUGAUAUUCUUGGGAUGAUGUGUGAUCAAUUUUCCUCUGAAGAACAAUCUGCCCUAACAAUGUCGACUGUUCUCAUCGACUCGCGUUUCAUGAGCUUGGAUAUUGCAGAGAUUUGCGAGAGAGGCUUAGCAGUGAAGUUUCAAAUAUUAAUAUUCUCAAUCUAUUUUAACGUUUGAUGAUGAGAAUUUGUUGGAUUGUACAAAUUUUGCAUCAUAUUAAAAAAAAUAU